rnacentral:lncRNA from 10 species
CUUUCUUUUUUUUUUUUUGAGACGGAGUCUUGCUCUGUUGCCAGGCUGGAGUGCAGUGGCGCGAUCUCAGCUCACUGCAAGCUCCACCUCCAGGAUUCAAGCGAUUCUCCUGCCUCAGCCUCCGGAGUAGCUGGGACUACAGGUGCGCGGCACCACGCCAAGCUAAUUUUUGUAUUUUUAAUAGAGACGGGGUUUCACCAUGUUGGCCAGGAUGGUCUCGAUCUCUUGACCUCGUGAUCCACCCGCCUCGACCUCCCAAAGUGCUGGGAUUACAGGCGUGAGCCACUGCGCCCGGCCUAUCUCAUCUUUAAAAUGAGGAUAAUCACAUCUGUCUUGCCUACAGGCCAAGUCUGUGACAGUACAUUACAAAAUAUUAAAGCAGGUAGCCCAGAGCUGUUCUCAUGGCAAAGGAAGAGAAGGAAGUGAGAGAGUGCGUAUAACACCUCUUGAGGCCUUGGCUAUGAAUGGGAUCCCAUCAUGUCCCCCACAUUGUAGUGACCAAAGCAAUCUACAAGACAGCCUGAUUCAAGGGGUGGACAUGAGGACUAAUGAAUUUCACAUCUUGAUGGGAAGAGCUGCAUAUACACAUGGUUUGCUUAGGAAGAAAACAAGAUUUCCCUGAAGCAGUUGAAUUAGACAGGCAAUUAGCCCUGUGGUGUUGAAACAUUACUGUAUGUGUUGCUAAUGAAACACUCUAGGCAAUUCCACUCGGCCGCAUGUUAAUCACAAGAAGAUGGACACAUUUUCCUGGGUGCAGAAAAAAGCCACUCCCUUACUGACUCAUUCUUUAAAAUAUAUAUAUGUAUAAUUCACGGACAGAUACAGUUUUGGGCUGGGCGCGGUGGCUCACGCCUGUAAUCCCAGCACUUUGGGAGGCCAAGGUGGGUGGAUCACAAGGUCAGGAGAUGGAGACCAUCCUGGCUAACAUGGUGAAACCCCGUCUCUACUAAAAACACAAAAAAUUAGCCAGGUGUGGUGGUGGGCACAUGUAGUCUCAGCUACUUGGGAGGCUGAGGCAGGAGAAUGGUGUGAACCCGAGAGGCAGAGCUUGCAGUGAGCUGAGAUCGUGCCACUGCACACUCCAGCCUGGGCAACAGAGCAAGACUCUGUCUCAAAAAAAAAAAAAAAA